rnacentral:rRNA from 1 species
UACAGAGGGUGCAAGCGUUAAUCGGAAUUACUGGGCGUAAAGCGCAUGUAGGUGGACAAGUAAGUUGGAUGUAAAAGCCCCGGGCUUAACCUGGGAAUGUCAUUCAAAACUGCUUGACUAGAGUAUGGUAGAGGGAAGUGGAAUUUCAGGUGUAGCGGUGAAAUGCGUAGAUAUCUGAAGGAACACCAGUGGCGAAGGCGGCUUCCUGGACCAAUACUGACACUGAGAUGCGAAAGCGUGGGUAGCGAACAGG